CCUACGGGAGGCAGCAGUAGGGAAUCUUCGGCAAUGGACGGAAGUCUGACCGAGCAACGCCGCGUGAGUGAAGAAGGUUUUCGGAUGUAAAGCUCUGUUUAGAGAGUUGCGGUAUCUUACCAGAAAGGGACGGCUAACUACGUGCCAGCAGCCGCGGUAAUACGUAGGUCCCGAGCGUUGUCCGGAUUUAUUGGGCGUAAAGCGAGCGCAGGCGGUUAGAUAAGUCUGAAGUUAAAGGCUGUGGCUUAACCAUAGUACGCUUUGGAAACUGUUUAACUUGAGUGCAAGAGGGGAGAGUGGAAUUCCAUGUGUAGCGGUGAAAUGCGUAGAUAUAUGGAGGAACACCGGUGGCGAAAGCGGCUCUCUGGCUUGUACUGACGUGAGGCUCGAAAGCGUGGGGAGCAACAGGAUUAGAUACCCUUGUAGUC
rnacentral:rRNA from 1 species